UUGUAGGGGUAGGGGUUAAAGUUUUCCACUACUCUCCUUGGGUCCUAGGUCGUGUAAGCUGAACUGAAAGCAUAACAGAAGAAGAGCUCAAAUGGAAAACGUGAUUGAACCAUUAUAAAAUGCCUAUCCACAGAGCGGAAGCAUCACCGUGUUUCAACACCAUCACCGUGUUUCAACACCAUCACCGCGUUUUCAUAGACUCCAGCGUCGCGUGGAUUCAACAUAUCGUAUCCUUAUCACAACUCAUCAUCGUGACCAUGUUUACAACAACUUUAGGAUUCACAUUUCCGAGUUUAAGGAUUGCGUCGCGUCUUCAUCAAUCAUUUUAGAAAUUUCAUCGGUUUCAAGCAUGGAUUCGCAUUUGAGAUUCUCGAUGCCGCGUUCGAGUAUCAAGGAAUCAGCUUGAAUGAUUCAAACACACAUAAUUGCAAUUGAAGCGAGAGAGAAGACUUACCGGCGACAAAAAUAAGGCCAUGAGCAUGUUGAAUGGUUUAUUGAAUGGGAUGGAGUGGUAGCUUGCUUGGAACUUGCUUGAAGACAUGGAAUGGUGGUGAUUAGGACUUAGGGAUAAAUAUUAACUUGUGGGUUUACAUGAAUGUUUUGUGUAGUUUUUCUUGAUGAUGUAAUGGUUGUAUAUGGAGAGUUUUAUGAAUUUGAAACAUGCAAUGAGAUGGUCUUUAUUUGAAAUUGAAUUGGUAUUAAAAGUUGUAUUUGAGUUGGCUUUGAAGAAAGCAUCUAGAAGUUAAUAAAAGUUUGUUUUGAA